UUUCCAGUUUCAACCACUGACUGUAAAUAUGAAUGGACAGAGCACGUGUGACCUCACCCAUUGGUUUGUGGAGAUCUGCUAUGAGUCGUCGAGUUUGC